AAAAGUUUCAAAUUCUAUUUUUGUCAUUUAUUUAAUUAAUUUAUCUUGUGAGAUUCAAUUAUAAAUAUAUCUUUUACAUUAAUUAUACUCGGAAAAAAAUUAUAAAAGAGAAAUUAAAAAUAAUAAUGCAGAGAUAUAAUUAUACAUCAAUAAUCAUUCAGAUUGUACAAUUGGUUUACGUUGAUGGAGAUGCUAUACUUCCAAGAAACAUUCUUCUUGUGAGCUUGACGGACGCCAGUGCCAAUACUGUUGCAGUAGGCACAAAGACAACAUCUGGCACCAUCUUGAUUAUCUUUAACUGGGGCAGAUUCUCUGCCGCUCUUUUGGCAGCCAUGGCUGCCGGUGGUGUUACCACCCCCGUGACCAUGGCGGAGUCAUCUAACCUGCUAAGAUUUACGCUCGUCUUCAUGAAGUCGACAAAGAGUUCUUUUCUUUUUGCCUCUGGAGCUUUUUUCCAGCGGGCAAAACAAUCCUCUAUGUCCUUUCUUGAGGGUGCAUCAUAAUGUCUACCAGGCAAUGCUGAGUUGAAUGUGUUGAAAAUGUCAAGAAUAGCCAUGUGGAAUUCCUCAAAGCUCUUAAUAUCUUUCUCCACAAAUUGCUUGUAGAGUGUUCCCAUUACAAAACUUACCAUCUGGGUUGAAGGCAACCCUUUUCCCAUAAAACUCAUGGACAUCCCCAUUUCUUUAAAAUUAACUUGAAAUCAAGUACAUUCAAUACAAUUGCAGAAAGGCUAUAUAUAGUGUAAGGUGGAGAAAGAGGGAAUGGCUUGCUGGGUUUUCCAAAACCA
rnacentral:misc_RNA from 1 species